CAGCAGCCGCGGGAAUACGGAGGGUGCAAGCGUUAAUCGGAAUUACUGGGCGUAAAGCGCACGCAGGCGGUUUGUUAAGUCAGAUGUGAAAUCCCCGAGCUUAACUUGGGAACUGCAUUUGAAACUGGCAAGCUAGAGUCUCGUAGAGGGGGGUAGAAUUCCAGGUGUAGCGGUGAAAUGCGUAGAGAUCUGGAGGAAUACCGGUGGCGAAGGCGGCCCCCUGGACAAAAACUGACGCUCAGGUGCGAAAGCGUGGGGAGCAAACAGGAUUAGAUACCCCAGUAGUCCCUGUCUCUUAUAC
rnacentral:rRNA from 1 species